CACGUAGGGGCCAAGCGUUGUCCGGAUUUAUUGGGCGUAAAGAGCUCGUAGGCGGCUCGGUAAGUCGGGUGUGAAACCUCCAGGCUCAACCUGGAGACGCCACCCGAUACUGCUGUGGCUAGAGUCCGGUAGGGGAGCGUGGAAUUCCUGGUGUAGCGGUGAAAUGCGCAGAUAUCAGGAGGAACACCAGCGGCGAAGGCGGCGCUCUGGGCCGGAACUGACGCUGAGGAGCGAAAGCGUGGGUAGCAAACAGG
rnacentral:rRNA from 1 species